rnacentral:lncRNA from 1 species
UCUGAAUGCUCCUGGGCAGUAAGACAAAAUGAAAAUACAAGAUGCACAAACAAUUUGAAAAGAUUGGCAUGCUUUGCCUCAGUACAAAACCAAACCAAAAUAAAUUAUAUUCAUCUCUGUUACACUUUUUUUUUUUUAGUUAUUUUUAUUUCCUAUAUUAUCCUCAUCCUUUCCUUACUGUGUCAACCCACAAUCUACCUUAAAAUCAAUCUUCCUUUUUUUUUUUUUUUUUUUUUUUUCCAACUGCAUAACACAACAAGCAUUCUUUUUUCCCCUGGCUCUAAACUGGAAGUUUUGAAGAAUCUGAUCUUACCUUUCAGCCAGAAAGAGGAGGAAAGAUCAAAGAACUCAGUCCAUCCCCUUCAGUGGCCUUUUUUGAUCCAUGAAGUAGGAAGAACUUGGAUGACGUGUGGUGAAGCAGCAUAGUAAAGCAUGAGUAUUUCCUGGUCUCCGGACCACUGGAUGAUUUCAAUACUGUAAGUAUUAUUUCUAACUUUGUUUUGCAGCUUUGUUCACAGUUUGCAAUCUGGAAAAUACAGCUUAGGAUAGGGACAGUAACUUAGUCAAUGCUGGAGUCCUUAUUUAGCUUACCAAAUAAUGGCUAAAUUCAUACUUAUCAAAUGUCAAUCGCUUAUUCAGUUAUCUUCUGAGUAUACACCUCACAUCAAUGCAUCCAUUUCACUCUCUAGCCUAAGUGAAUUGCCCCUUUUUCAUUCAAUUAGUCAUGCUCACUGGUUCAACAGUUCACUAGGUUAAUGUAUUAAUGUUUUAAUGGAAAGAUGCCAAUCACUCUUAAACCUUGCCUGAAGAACUACUUAAAGUAAGUGAAAGCAUGCUUAAGGAAUUUGAAUGUUAGAAGUGCAUUUUCAAUGGAUAUAAAAACACACUGUCUUCUGUGCUGCUGGGCCUACUUAAGUAAGCAAUAGUUUAGUUUACUAAUCCGUAAUACAAGGAAAGAAAUGAGUCCAUAAUGCAACAGUUCUGUUUCUUGGAUCACUUCCACGUCAUGUUUAUCUUUCUGUUAGUAAUUGCAAAGUCUAACACAACUUAGCUUUGUAUUUCAUUUUCAGACACAGGACAUUUUCUUUACUGUUGCUUCUUUUAUUUUUGCUAAUGGAUUUAACACUGGCUUUCAAUGUCUGGUACAGUUAAGUGUCACUAUCCUGUUCAUCCAUUAUAGAAAAGAGGGAUCCUAAUUAAGAGGUUAAAAAAGGGUGAAAAAGAGGCAAAAAUAAUCUUUUGUUGUUGUUGUUGUUGUUGUUG